CCUACGGGAGGCAGCAGUGAGGAAUAUUGGUCAAUGGGCUUACGCCUGAACCAGCCAAGUCGCGUGAGGGAAGACUGCCCUAUGGGUUGUAAACCUCUUUUGUCAGGGAGUAACGCCGGCUACGUGUAGCCGGACUGAGAGUACCUGAAGAAAAAGCAUCGGCUAACUCCGUGCCAGCAGCCGCGGUAAUACGGAGGAUGCGAGCGUUAUCCGGAUUGAUUGGGUUUAAAGGGUGCGUAGGCGGAAUGCCAAGUCAGCGGUAAAAUCGCGGGGCUCAACCUCGCUCCGCCGUUGAAACUGGCGUUCUUGAGUGGGCGAGAAGUAUGCGGAAUGCGUGGUGUAGCGGUGAAAUGCAUAGAUAUCACGCAGAACUCCGAUUGCGAAGGCAGCAUACCGGCGCCCAACUGACGCUGAAGCACGAAAGCGUGGGUAUCGAACAGGAUUAGAUACCCUUGUAGUC
rnacentral:rRNA from 1 species